AGCCAAUAACGUCUCAGUAGGGUGCGCCACACUGCCAUAUCGACCUCUGAUUGGGUAACACGGACCUGAAGCCACUACCGCCUGAUGAGCUCAUGAAUGGAUGGGCCAUUAAAAAGAAUUCAUCUACAGUCAAGAGCCGACACAUUACCUGGGAGUAAAACCCAAAUAACUCCUCAACAUAUUUUGAGUGCUGGAAAAGGUAUCGCGAUAGCCAAGUCUCAGGGGAAAAAUACAGAUUGGGACCAGAACUGAAAAUAUGUGGGUAUGGCUGUGCAGACCACUUCUACGAGUCAGACACCCUGCUGCACUGUUUCUAGGUACUCAGGAAGCUGCUAGGGUCACCUGUCACCCAGGACAUCAUCUGACAAGCACUUCAGCUAUGUUGUGGCUCUCUUUGCCUCCUGGACUAUCACACCCCACUAAACAGUACAUGUGGAGGAGUACUUCCUGCCCAGGAUGAUCCAGGAUGUGACAGGACAGGACAAGGUCCCCUUUGUUGACUGCGUCCUCCCAACCAAAGACACCUGCAUCGGGAGUGAGGUCUGUGCUGAACUGUGGAACCCUAGGAGGCACAUUCAAUUAAGAGCCUCAAACGAAGGUCUUUUCUUUUCAAACCUUACUCAAUUUCUGUAAUGAGUUGUGUACUACUGUGUGUCGUCAGUCAUUUGUGUAAUGGAUUGAAAGAGAGCUCAAAUGUUUUUUGAGAGAUUAAGUGAGAUUGCUUAUGUGAAUAAAUAUAUACAGUAUACAGUUUUUCUAGUUUUUCUAGUAAGCUACAGUAUGUAAUGAAGUAUGUGGGAAUGCCAUGUGCUUGGCAGCCCCCAUGUGGACAUGGGUCUGGACGGUGUGGAGAUCUUCACCAACUCCUCAGCCAACUACCACGAGCUACGCAAGGCAGACCACAGAGUCAUCCUGGUUAAAUCAGCCACCACGAAGGUGAUCAUACACACACGAACGGACGGAUGGACACAUGCACAUGUUACUCCGCCCUCAAACUCAACUCUGGACCUCGAAGCCGGUUCCACUUCAUUUUUUAUUGUUCCCCUCUAAUCAGGGACCGGUUUAGACCUGGGACAACAGGUGUGUGUGCAAUUAAUUAUGAGAUCGAGCAGAAAACCAGCGGGCUCCGGACCACGUAGGCUAAGGGAGGUUGUGUCACUCUGAGUCUGGAGGAUGUCCGCAGCUACAGAGGAGAGCAUUGCCACCCACACAUGGAGUAUGAGCACAAGCCGUGUCAUCGAGUCAAAGUGGACUUCUCCUGGUCUGAUUGUGAAGAUGUCUACCUCCCCACUCUCCAGCCCAUUGAGUGGCAGAUCCACACCCCUGAGGAAGAUAUUCGGCAUGGCACCCCCUGACAAAGACUGGGAUCACAAGAGUGUUGUGUGGCUAAAAUGCUGCCCAAAAUAAAUAGUAGCUAUUUUUGACUGUGUCUCCCUGUAUUUUCUUUUUCACCAUGGAAUCAUUGGAAACAGACAGAGACAGCAGCUACUAUAUCGCCACACAGAGGAUUCCGAAGCAUAGAGUGUGACAUUCAUUUACCCUGACUGCUCCCUUUGUGUCUGAAACUGAGCUGCCUGUCUUUGGUGGAGCCAAUCCCUGUCUGAGAGAAGUUAAAACUAAAAAGACACGUUUUAUUUAAAGCUACUUUCCAGAUCAUGUGACUGCCUACCUCUUUACAGUUUACAGUGUACACAUACAGACCCUUCCAUUCAUGUGACAAACAAGCACAGGCCUUCAUUCUAACCUGCAAU